GCUCACUUCAGCAAACCUAUGCCAAAAGCAGAACAAUGCGAAGAAGAUUCACAUGUCCCCAGCCCAAGAAUGAUGUGCAAAUUCUGAAAACUUUCCAGAUUUUA
rnacentral:snRNA from 1 species